rnacentral:rRNA from 1 species
GACGAACGCUGGCGGCGUGCUUAACACAUGCAAGUCGAACGGAAAGGCCCUGCUUUUGUGGGGUGCUCGAGUGGCGAACGGGAGUAACACGUGAGUAACCUGCCCUUGACUUUGGGAUAACUUCAGGAAACUGGGGCUAAUACCGGAUAGGAGCUCCUGCUGCAUGGUGGGGGUUGGAAAGUUUCGGCGGUUGGGGAUGGACUCGCGGCUUAUCAGCUUGUUGGUGGGGUAGUGGCUUACCAAGGCUUUGACGGGUAGCCGGCCUGAGAGGGUGACCGGCCACAUUGGGACUGAGAUACGGCCCAGACUCCUACGGGAGGCAGCAGUGGGGAAUAUUGCACAAUGGGCGGAAGCCUGAUGCAGCAACGCCGCGUGCGGGAUGACGGCCUUCGGGUUGUAAACCGCUUCCGCCUGUGACGAAGCGUGAGUGACGGUAAUGGGUAAAGAAGCACCGGCUAACUACGUG